UUCAGGUGUGCUUUUUUCGGCAAUUUUUUAGGUCAGUUCGGAAAGCUGACUACUUGACCAUGCGCCAUGGUUUCAUCUCGGUCCAUUUAGCACCAGGAAGUAAGUUUAAUUUUCAAAAGUACAUUAAAAGAUCUCUAGAAGAUGACUUCAAGAUUGUUGUGGGUAUCAAUUCAUUGCUAUGGUUUUCUGCAGUUGUUUAUCUUCUGAUGAAUGUUCAUGCAC